rnacentral:tRNA from 1 species
UGAGCCAUUAGCUCAGCAGGUAGAGCAUCUGACUUUUAAUCAGAGGGUCGGAGGUUCGAAUCCUCCAUGGCUCAU